AUGAUUCGAAACCCUGUAAAUGCAUGGAAAUAAAUGAUCGCCUAUUUUAGUUUCUAACAGUAACAUGUCUCUCAAUUAUUCAAGCUUGGGUAUACGGGGAAACCCAACCCCUUGGGCGGAUGUGUUACAUGGCUAAAUUGAGAGGG
rnacentral:ribozyme from 1 species